GAUGAACGCUGGCGGCGUGCCUAAUACAUGCAAGUCGAGCGAACAGACGCGGAGCUUGCUCCUCUGACGUUAGCGGCGGACGGGUGAGUAACACGUGGAUAACCUACCUAUAAGACUGGGAUAACUUCGGGAAACCGGAGCUAAUACCGGAUAAUAUCUUGAUCCGCAUGGUUCAAUAGUGAAAGACGGUUUUGCUGUCUCUUAUAGAUGGAUCCGCGCCGCAUUAGCUAGUUGGUAAGGUCACGGCUUACCAAGGCGACGAUGCGUAGCCGACCUGAGAGGGUGAUCGGCCACACUGGAACUGAGACACGGUCCAGGCUCCUACGGGAGGCAGCAGUAGGGAAUCUUCCGCAAUGGGCGAAAGCCUGACGGAGCAACGCCGCGUGAGUGAUGAAGGUCUUCGGAUCGUAAAACUCUGUUAUUAGGGAAGAACAAAUGUGGAAGUAACUAUGCACGUCUUGACGGUACCUAAUCAGAAAGCCACGGCUAACUACGUG
rnacentral:rRNA from 1 species